UACUGCAUUUAAAACUAUAAAAUAGAACAAACAACAACUGACCGACAAAUACACCAGACUCGGGCUCCAUUAGCGACCUUAAACAAUUUCACACAUCUAUUGAUUCAUAAACACCGUUUUAUCAUUUAUUGAACUUUAAUACCGUGAUAGGAAAUAGGGUGAGGGGUCCUUACUUGUUUUGGGGUCUGAAUACGGCUCUACAGUGCGCCUACAGGCUGUCCCUAAUUUUCCCUGAAUUUUUCCCGGGGAACUGAAACGCACUACUGGUACUGGUGGCGGUGCUCUCGGGUGCGGUGGCUCUCCGGCGUGAAUCGUGUUUUGGUGAUUUGGCUCCGAUCAACCUCGAUCGGUGGUCGAAAAUUUUCCCGGUGCGGCGGCGGGUGGCGGCGGCCGGCUUAUCCGGCGAGCACUGGCGGCUAGGGUUUCUUUGGUCAGGUGUGGGUGGGGGUAUUUAUACCCUUCGCCUUUUAAUCUUGACCGUCCAUCAAGAUUGAAUCUGGGCCGUUCGAUCGCGAUUUAAUUGGGAUUAAAUCUGGACCGUUCAUCGCGAUGCAAUCUGAGCCGUCCGUGCCUGAU
rnacentral:lncRNA from 1 species